rnacentral:rRNA from 1 species
UACGUAGGGACCGAGCGUUGUCCGGAAUCAUUGGGCGUAAAGAGCGUGUAGGCGGCUAUUUAAGUCCUGCGUGAAAUCCUGCGGCUCAACCGCAGACGGUCGUGGGAAACUGGAUGGCUAGAGUGCGGGAGAGGAGAGUGGAAUUCCCGGUGUAGCGGCGAAAUGCGCAGAUAUCGGGAAGAACACCCGUGGCGAAGGCGGCUCUCUGGAACGCAACUGACGCUGAGACGCGAAAGCGUGGGGAGCAAACAGG